GGGCCCGCACAAGCGGUGGAGUAUGUGGUUUAAUUCGAUGCAACGCGAAGAACCUUACCAGGGUUUGACAUCCUGCGAAUCUCUUGGAAACAGGAGAGUGCCUUCGGGAACGCAGUGACAGGUGGUGCAUGGCUGUCGUCAGCUCGUGUCGUGAGAUGUUGGGUUAAGUCCCGCAACGAGCGCAACCCACGUCUUUAGUUGCCAGCAUUUAGUUGGGCACUCUAGAGAGACUGCCGGUGAUAAACCGGAGGAAGGUGUGGAUGACGUCAAGUCAUCAUGCCCCUUACAUCCUGGGCUACACACGUACUACAAUGGGUGUGACAAAAAGUUGCAAACUCGCGAGAGUAAGCUAAUCUUUAAACACAUCCCUAGUUCAGAUUGUAGGCUGCAACUCGCCUACAUGAAGGUGGAAUCGCUAGUAAUCGCAGGUC
rnacentral:rRNA from 1 species